UACGUAGGCAGCGAGCGUUGUUCGGAGUUACUGGGCGUAAAGGGUGCGUAGGCGGUUGUUUAAGUUUGGUGUGAAAUCUCCCGGCUCAACUGGGAGGGUGCGCCGAAUACUGAAUGACUAGAGUGCGGGAGAGGAUAGUGGAAUUCCUGGUGAUAGCGGUGAAAUGCGUAGAUAUCAGGAGGAACACCGGUGGUGUAGACGGCUAUCUGGACCGUAACU
rnacentral:rRNA from 1 species